rnacentral:lncRNA from 1 species
CACGGUACCCAUGUUUCACAUCUACGGUCUUGCAGCCUUCGCAACGGGGUUACUAGCUACCGGAGCCACCGUAGUCGUCGUUUCGAAAUUUGAGAUGGGAGAUUUGAUGUCAGCAAUCGCGACCUACAAAGCCACUUACUUCCCAUUAGUACCCCCAAUCCUCAUCGCCAUGAUCCAACACGCCGGAACCAUAAAAAAGAACCACAACCUCUCGUCGCUGAAGAAAGUGUUAUCCGGCGGAGCUCCCCUGAGCAAAGAAAUCAUCCAGGGCUUCACAAAGGAGUACCCAACAGUGGAGAUUCUCCAAGGGUACGGUCUUACGGAGACGACUG